AUCGAACGCUGGCGGCAGGCCUAACACAUGCAAGUCGAACGAGUGGCGGACGGGUGAGUAAUGUCUGGGAAACCGCCCGAUGGAGGGGGCUAACUACCGGAAACGGUAGCUAAUACCGGAUACCAACGGCUGCGCCCAGAUGGGAUUAGCUAGUAGGUGGGGUAACGGCUCACCUAGGCGACGAUACCUAGCUGGUCUGAGAGGAUGACCAGCCACACUGGGACUGAGACACGUCCCAAACUCCUACGGGAGGCAGCAGUAGGGAAUAUUGCACCAUGGGCGAAAGCCUGAUGCAGCAAUGCCGCGUGUAUGAAGAAGGCCUUCGGGUUGUAAAGUACUUUCAGCGAGGAGGCGUUACUCGCAGAGGAAGCAACGGCUAACUCCGUGCCAGCAGCCGCGGUAAUUC
rnacentral:rRNA from 1 species